CAACCUGCUCGGGUGCCCUUCCGUGCUGUGGAAGCUUUGAUCUUUUGCUCUUCACAAUAAAUCUUGCUGCUGCUCACUCACUGGGUCCGCACCACCUUUAAGAGCUGUAACACUCACCGCGAAAGUCCAUGGCUUCAUUCCUGAAGUCAGCGAGACCACCAACCCACUGGAAGGAACAAACUCUGGAUACAUCUUCGUGAUUACAAAGGGACUAUUGCCAACUGGAUCAAGGCCAUCAAGCUACAGAUGGCCUUACAAAUGGAACUCCAAAUGAGCUCAACUAACAACUUCUGCUGAGGACCCCUGGAUCGACCCACUGGCUCUUUGACUGGCCUAGAAAGUUCCCCUCUGGAGGACACUACACUGCAGAGCCCCUUCUUCACCCCUAUCCAGUAGGAAGUAGCUAGAGUGGUCAUCGCCCAAUUCCCAACAGCAGCUGGGGUGUCCUGUUUAGAGGGGGGAUUUGAGAUGAAGCCAGCUGGACUUCUGGGUCAGGUGGACUUGGAGAACUUUUCUGUCUUACAAGAGGAUUGCAAAAUGCACCAAUCAGCACUCUGUAGCUAGGAUUGUAAAAUGUACCAAUCAGCACUCUGUGGCUAGCUAGAGGUUUGUAAAAUGCAUGAAUCAGUGCUCUGUAAAAACACACUAAUUGGCGCUCUGUGGCUAGCUAGAGGUUUGUAAAAUGCAUGAAUCAGUGCUCUGUAAAAACACACUAAUUGGCGCUCUGUGGCUAGCUAGAGGUUUGUAAAAUAGACCAAUCAGCACUCUGUAAAAUGGACCAAUCAGCACUCUGUAAAGUGGACCAAUCAGCAGGAUGUGGGUGUGGACAAAUAAGGGAAUAAAAGCUGGCCCAGCCAGCAGUGGCAACCCGCUCAGGUCCCCUUCCAUGCUUUGGAAGUUUGUUGUUUCGCUCUUCACAAUAAAUCUUGCUGCUGCUCACUCUUUGGGUCUGCACCACCUUUAAGAGCUGUAACACUCACUGCAAAGGUCUGCAGCUUCAUUCCUGAAGUCAAUGAGACCACAAAUCCACCAGAAGGAACAAACUCUGGGCACAGUUGUUUGUUUUAGGGGAGAUCCACCAAAUUCGUAACAUGUUUGAAUUGAAAUUUUAAAGAUUACAAAAACAUUUUAAUUAUAAACAUUAAGAAAUUUGUAGGUAAUUUAUGUAUUUCUUAAGUAUAUAAAAACUUUAUAUAAAUAAAGUUUUGGAAGAAAAAACUGUUAUACAUCAUAAGGUCCAAUUAAUAAAACAGAGAAAUUUUUAUUUGUUUGCUUUUCUAUAUUUCCCUUCCUUGAGAAAAAAGACUGUGCUUUGUUUAUGUUGCCCUCAUGAAUGUGCAAUUGAGUAAAUAAGAGAUGGUACUGAAUAAAAGUCUGAAAGCCA
rnacentral:lncRNA from 1 species